rnacentral:rRNA from 1 species
GAUGAACGCUAGCGCUAGGCUUAACACAUGCAAGUCGAGGGGCAGCAUGGUCUUAGCUUGCUAAGACUGAUGGCGACCGGCGCACGGGCGCGUAACGCGUAUGCAACUUGCCUCACAGAGGGGGAUAACCCGUCGAAAGACGGACUAAUACCGCGUACACUUGGGAUAGGGCAUCCUGACCCAAGGAAAUGAAAUUCGCUGUGAGAUAGGCAUGCGUCCCAUUAGCUAGUUGGUGAGGUAACGGCUCACCAAGGCGACGAUGGGUAGGGGAACUGAGAGGUUGAACCCCCACACUGGUACUGAGACACGGACCAGACUCCUACGGGAGGCAGCAGUGAGGAAUAUUGGUCAAUGGGCGAGAGCCUGAACCAGCCAAGUCGCGUGAAGGAUGACUGUCUUAUGGAUUGUAAACUUCUUUUAUACGGGAAUAACAAGAGUCACGUGUGGCUCCCUGCAUGUACCGUAUGAAUAAGCAUCGGCUAACUCCGUG